AUUUUGUACAAAUGAAGAAACUGAGUUAAAGAAAGAUUAAAUGUCCUGAACGAUACCAAUAACUAAUGACUGAUGGGGUGGUGGGUUCUUUCUUAUUGCAUGAAUCCUUAAAAACAGAAAAUUGUUCCUGGGCGUAGUCACAGAUCGAUGUGAAGAUAGAAGACAGCACCAGAAUCAAUGAACUCUGCAAAGAUCCUGGACUCCUUCUCCUGCUGCAUAAUAAAGGAAGUGAAAUUCUGCUUCAUCGAUGAAUAACAGGAUUUUAUAUAAAACUUUGAAUGACAUAGGAGGGACAAUUUGCAUAGAACAACAAGUCCUCAAACUGGCCACAAGCUGUCUGCACUGUUAUUUGAGGAUUUCCAAAAUGCCAGAAGGUGCACUAACAGCUGUAGAUACUUGAGUCAACAAGAAACUUCUGUACUUUUUCUCUCAAGGUCAUACAGCCCUGAAUCUGAUAGCAACAGAGCUUCAGCAAUAACAGCAGAUGCCAUCUUAG